CCUUGACCCCUGUUAAAUGUCUACAACAAGCAAACAACGGUGUUUACAGAAUGAAGUGGGCAAUCCACAACACCGUGCUUGACACUUGAGGAAUAUUUAAACUGUUGGACCUAUUGGCGCACUGAUGGAUGAUGAUCUGAAUGGAGAAACAUCAUCACGUGAUCUCUGUAUACAGUCAGACGAAGAAACUGUUUCCGGUACUUGAUUACCCUGGAAGACGGCUCAUCAAGGCGAUUUAAAGAUGCUGGGCCAUUUUGUUUUUAGCGUUAGAGACCUGUUGUAAUAAUUACAGAGCCCCGUAUCACGAAGCGAUCUUAGCCCUAAAGUUUGUUUGUUUUGUUUAACAACACC